UUCCCUGGUCAGUGGGACUGUUUUUGGUUUUCUGCUGGGUAACUCUUUCCAUGGAAUAACUGCAUUUCUCAUGGAUGGAUGGAUUAAUGGAUUGGAGCAAGUAUGUGGGUGGAGGAGAUUUUAGUGGACCAGAAAAUUGACAUACAUAACAACAACUCCUGGACAUUCCUGUUGCUUUCUGGAUCAUGUUUAUCAGGUUUAACUGAAACUCAAAAGGAGCUGUACCACUUUCUUGACAACCCUGUAUUGCCUGAGCUACAUUUUUGCCUCUGGUCAGCCCUGCCCUCUGGUGGAGAAAGUCAUGUUUCAGCAGUGGAGGAACAAGUAGUCAGGUCGAUUUUAAGCAAAAUGGUAAUAUUUUGUAAAGUUUAUGAUGCAGUUAAUGCUUGAUAUUGUAGCACUUUGUAUUAUAUACCCUCAGAAAUAAAAUAAGUCAUUAUGGAAUAGCCUCUUUUGAGUGUUAAAAUGUCCCAGUCCUGCAUCCUAAAGUCGGCCACAAUUGUCCCACUGCCAAAGCGUACCGACAUUAGCAGCCUCAACGACUACCGACCAGUUGUUCUGACACCUGUUAUUUUGAAGUGCUUCAAGAAACUGGUCCGACAUCACAUCAUGUCCUGCCUGCAUGCCUGCCACCCACAAUCGACCCGCUCCAGUUCGCAUACAGAGCUAACAGACCAACUGAAGAUGCCAUUACUAAAACGCUCCACACCACCAUCUCUCACCUGGAACAACAAGGGCAUUACGCCAGGCUGCUCUUUGUUGACUUUAGCUCUGCUUUCAAUACGAUACUCCCGGACAGACUAAUAGUUAAACUGCUGGAUAUUGGGCUUCCUUCUACCACCUGCCGCUGGAUCAGAGACUUCCUGUCAGACAGUGUACAGAAAGUUAGAGUGGGGCCUCAUCUUUCCUCACCACUCAGCCUUAACACCGGCUCUCCACAAGGCUGUGUCGUGAGUCCUCUACUAUACACUCUGUACACAUGACUGUGUUAGUACCCACCCAGACAACGCAGUCAUUAAGUUUGCAGAUGAUACCACCGUGGUGGGGCUCAUCUCUGGGGGAGAUGAGACGGCAUACAGAGCUGAGAUUCAGAGGCUGUCAGAUUGGUGUGUAGACAACAACCUGGACCUCAAUACCACCAAAACAAAAGAGCUGGUAGUCGACUUCAGAAGGAGGAAGUCUGAGCUGCAGCCUGUCAACAUCAGCGGGGAGUGUGUGGAAAGGGUGUCCAGUUUCAAGUUCCUGGGUGUGCACAUAGACACAGACCUCCAAUGGAGCUCAAACACCUCUGCGGUUUUGAAGAAGGCCCAACAGCGUGUCCACUUUCUGAGAAUCCUCAGAAAAUUGGACCUGAAGAAGGAGCUGCUGACUGUCUUCUACCUCUGCUCCAUUGAAAGUGUGCUGACUGCAUCUGUGUGUGGUUCUCCAGCUGCACCACGAAAAGGCACUUCAGAGGGUCAUUAAUAUGGCCCAAAAAAUCAUUGGCCAUCCUCUUCCCUCCCUGAAGGACCUGUACAGCAUUCGCUGUCUCAA